rnacentral:rRNA from 1 species
AACCAGGGGGUUAAGUUGUAUUACACGGUAAAAAGACAGUUAAAUAGAAAAAUAAGUUUAGUCAGCAUACUAUCGGGAGGUAGAAUUCGAAGAUAGAUGAGUAUACUUAAUAGAACUAAUGUAUUGAAGCUGUGAUCACUUUGAGGGAAACUAGGAUUAGAUACCCUAUUAUUCAUAGAAGUAAAUAAAAAAGUUUAUACCAGAGUACUAAGAAUAAAAAAUUUAAAACUCAAAGGGCUUGGCGGUGUUUUAGACUAUUUAGGGGAACCUGUCUCAUAAUCGACAAUCCACGUUAAACCUAACCUUUUUUUGCACUCAGUUUGUAUACCGUCGUCGCCAGGUAACUUUUAAGAUAUAAGCAGUUAGCAAUCAAAAUAUUUUAAUUGAGACGUCAGAUCAUGGUGCAGCUAACAAUUAGGUGUAGAUGGGUUACAAUUACUUUAUUUGUAAUAACGGACAACAAUUUUAAAAACAGUUGGAAAGGAGGACUUAAAAGUAAAAUAAAAUAUAUAAACAUUUUGAAUAAAGCUCUGAAACGUGC